GGACCAGCUCUGCCACUCGGCCUUCAGGCCACAUCUUGUGGUCAAGACCUUGCUGUGGUUAGCCCAUGUAGGCCUGAAACUGACUUCACAUCCUCCUCAGAGCAAGUCAGGAGGGGACCGCUCUUCUGGCUGGGGCAGAGGUCGAUUAAGACGCGAAUACCUGCUAAGCACCAUAGCUCACCCAAAAGGGAGACAAAGAUACCCAGGAGGUCCAGCCAGAGGCCCACCGUCAUCAACAGAACAAAGAGGCCAGCCAUGCGCACCAGAACCGUCUGGACCUGGCCCUGUAGGCUGAAGCGGUGCUGCUGCUCCUCUGUGGAAUGUAGCUGUCACUACCCAGGCUGGCACCUUCUGGAGGUCAGCCGGGGCCAGCCUGUUCCAGUUUUCAUCUGCUUUCCCCAGGGGUUGUACCAGCUUCCCUGACUGCCUUCUUUUUUUUUCUUUUCAUUUUUUUUUUUUUUUUUUUUUUCCGGAGCUGGGGACCGAACCCAGGGCCUUGCGCUUGCUAGGCAAGUGCUCUACCGCUAAAUCCCCAACCCCUCCCUGACUGCCUUCUUGCCUCCCUGCUUCCUUCUCUGGGCACCUGCAGGAUUUCUUGCCCAACCUUAAGCCUCCCCCUGGAUGAGCAGAGCCCUGUCAGUCGAUGGCAAGAAUCUAAGGUUCUCCCC